rnacentral:rRNA from 1 species
UAGCCCGUGAGGACGGCCUGUGGGUUGUAAACCGCUUUUCUCAGGGAAGAAGACAGUGACGGUACCUGAGGAAUCAGCCUCGGCUAACUCCGUGCCAGCAGCCGCGGUAAUACGGAGGAGGCAAGCGUUAUCCGGAAUGAUUGGGCGUAAAGCGUUCGUAGGUGGCAAUUCAAGUCUGCUGUCAAAGACAGUAGCUCAACUACUGCAAGGCAGUGGAAACUGAAUAGCUAGAGUGCGGUAGGGGCAGAGGGAAUUCCCGGUGUAGCGGUGAAAUGCGUAGAGAUCGGGAAGAACACCGGUGGCGAAAGCGCUCUGCUGGGCCGCAACUGACACUGAGGGACGAAAGCUAGGGGAGCGAAUGGGAUUAGAUACCCCAGUAGUC